UUAAGACCCUCCUUGUAACCGCAUGGGAGUGUCUGCUAGCAGCCUUCAGAUGAAGAUAAAGAACUCUCAGCUCCUCCUGCACCAUGCCUGCCUACAUGCUGUCAUGCUCCUACCAAGAUGAUAAUGGACUGAACCUCUAAAACUGGAUUGAACCCAGAGCCUCAGACUUGCUAGACAUAACACACUUUGCAGGGAAGAGAAAAAUAAAUCAGGAACUGACCUGGGAACUUCCUCUCUGCUGGCUGGCUUUUUUGGAGCUGGAAGGCGCUGUGUGGAGGAUCAAAGACGCAGUGGUUGCUCAGAGAAGUGGACCCUACAUGCUGCGGAAAAUGCCUGGCUUGGUACUGUUGGUGAGGCUACAGUUACAAAGUAAAACCAAAUGUACUGGAAUAGUGGUGCUUGGAGAAGAUUCAAAGCAGUAUUAAGGAUGGAGAAUAUAACUUACUUAUCUCAAAUUCCCGAAGAUGAAGUCUAUGACAAGAAGCCAGCACUAGCGUGCGAGCACAAACUGGCCUUGAAUUCUAUAUCCUCCUGACUCUACCACCAAGAUCAUAUAUCACCAUAGUCAUGCCCUAUUUUUCAAAAUAUUGCUUUGGAAAAAAACAGCUAGAGAAAAUGUAUAUUACCUACAAGAUUUGAAUGACUGAUUCAUAUGUUUAAACUCCAUUGACCAACAGACAACUCAUUCUACAAAAGGGAUUUUUUUAGUCUUUAAUUCAAUAAGUUAACUUAAGAAACGUUGUACUGGCGGUAGCCUGUAAUCCGGUACUCAGAGCUCUGAGAGAGAAGAAACACCAUAAGUUCUGUGCCAGCCGCUGAUAGUGAAACCCUGCCUGCACAACCAGGAGAAUACAAUGUAUAACAGGGCAAGCACCGGCGUACAUGCUGCGACCCCAGUGCUCAGAGCAGACCAGACGGCAGGAGGACCCGGUGUUCAAGGUUAUCCUCAACCACACAGCCACGUCUCUUCCCCGUUCUCCGCCCUCGUGCUGGGUGUCCUUGUCUGCCUUCCUCAGCACAGAUUCCCACCAUUUCAGAACCAAAUAAUUCCCGGCCAAGAGACAGAAGCUAAGUGGCCCCAGUUUUUGAAGGAUGCAGGUUACAACUGAUAAUAAGGCCACGUACGGGAUGCUGGUGAGAUUGCUUAGCAGUGAAAAGCCAUGUGGAGCUCUGCAGAAGACCUGAGCUGGGAUUCCCUGCUCCGUGUCAAGAUCUUACAACAACUACCUGUAUUACAGGUCCAAGGGCCCCAGACACUCUUUUGGACUCCAAGGGCACAUGUGCUCAUGUGUACAUACUCCCACACAGAUACACACACACACACACACACACACACACACGAUGUUAAAGUAAAUUAAAUCUUAAAAAAACACAAUAAGUGGCCUGGCAUGGUGGCACAUGCCUGUAAUCCCAGUACUUGGGAAGCAGAGGCAGGCAGAUUUCUGAGUUCGAGGUCAGCCUGGUCUACAGAGUGAGUUCCAGGACAGUCAAGACCACACAGAGAAACCUUGUCUCGAAAAACCAAAACAAACAAACAAACAAACAAACAAACAAAAAACCACACACACUCAAUAAGUAAAUAAACAAAUCAGGAGCUGGAGAGAUUUCUCAUCGGCGAAGAACUCUUGCUGGGCGGGCAGUGGUGGCACACGCCUUCCCAGAAACUCAGAAGGCAAACAGGUGGGCUGCUGAGUUUCAGUUAAGGCCAGCCUGGUCUACAGACAAGUUCCAGGACAGCCAGGGCUACACAGAGAAACUGUCUGUCUUGAGGUGGGGAGUGGGGGGUAAGGAACACUUGCUGUUGUAGUGACAGUUUUAGUGUCUUUAAAAAACACAGAAAUCAAACCAGGCAGUGGUGGCGCACACCUGUAGUCCCAGGGGAGGAAGAAGCAGGCAGAUUUCUGAGUUCGAGUCCAGCCUGGUCUACAGAGUGAGUUCCAGGGCUAUACAGAGAAACCCUGUCUUGAAAAAAACAAAUCCAAAAUACUAAUUAAUUAAUUAAUUAAUUAAUUAAUUAAAAUAAACCACAAAAAUCGUAUAAGAAUGUGCUUUCAUUUUAAUCCCAGGCAGAGGGACAGGGGGCUGCUUCAGACUGUCUGUAUCUGCUGACUCAUCAUUUGCCUCCUGCUUUAGCAGAGGCAUGGUCUUCCCAGCUGCAGGUGACCCCAUGUGUGACUCCAUGUGACUCCAUGUGUAGCCAACAUGAUUGACCCCCAUAUGUGACUCCAUGUGUGACCCCAUCUGUGAUUCCAUGUAUGACUUCAUGUGUGGCCAACAUAUGUGACCCCCAGGUGUGACUCCAGAUAUGACUCCACAUGUGAUCUCAUGUGUGGCCAAUAUGUGUGACCCCCUGUGACUCCAUGUGUGACCCCCAGGUGUGACUCCAUAAUGACCCUAGGUGUGACUCCAGAUAUGACUCCAUAUGUGACCCCAUGUGUGGCUCCAUGUGACUCCAUGUAACUCCAGGUGUGACUCCAUGUGUGACUCCAGGUAUGACUCUGUGUGACUCCAGUUGUGACUCUAGGUGUGACCCCAGAUGUGACUCCAUGUGUGACCCCAGGUAUGAUAUAUGUGUGACUCCAGAUGUGACCCCAGGUGUGACUCCAUGUGUAACCCCCAGGUAUGACUCCAUGUGUGACUCCCCAGGUAUGACUAUAUGUGUGACUCCAGAUGUUACCCCCAGGUGUGACUCCAGGUAUGACUCUAGCUGUGACUCCGGCCACCCCACCUUCCCUGCUAUGAUGAUCUAUAAGUGGGGUGAGCUAAGAUAACCACUCUCCUUUAAAAAUCAAAACAAAACAAAAUGCAUCAAAGAACCACGAGUGACUCACAGAAUGUUUAAGACAUUCUAAGGGGAGGGCGGGAAGAUGGUAUCCUAGCAGCUGCCUCUGGAGUGCUGGGGUAAAAGGCAUGUGCCACCACGCCCAGCGCAGGUCAUUUGGAAGGAGGAGGGGAGAGGAGAAAGCAGACCCUUACAUUGCCUUUAUUCUGUUUCUAGUUAGAAAGUUAAUUUGACUCAUAGAUAGCUGUGGUAGCCCACUCCUUUAAUCCCAGAACUCAGGAGACAGAGACAAGCAGAUGUCUGGGCAUUUCAGGAUUUCAGGGUUUCUCUGUGUAGCCGUGGCUGUCCUGGAUUGACUCACUCUGUAGACCAGGCUAGCCUUGAAUUCAGAAAUCUGCCUGCCUCUGCCUCCCAAGUGCUGGGAUUACAGGCAUGCACCACCCGGCUACACAUGUUAAUAACACACACAAAAAAUGUUAAAGAGGGGGCUGGAGAGAUUGCUCAGCAGUUAAGAGCACCGACUGCUCUUCCAGUGGUCUUGAGUUCAAGUCCCAGCAACCACGUAGUGGCUCACAGCCAUCUGUAAUGGGACCCAAUGUUACGCUUCUGGUGUGUCCGAACACAGCUACACUGUACUCAUAUAAAAUAAAUCUUUUUUUAAAUGUUGAAGAGUAUGCCGUGCAUGGCCCUCCUUUGCAGUUGGACAGAGGGACAAGGUCAUGUGACAGCCCCAGGGGCAGGCUGAGUAAACUGCACGCUUCCCACUCUGGUUGCCACCUCAUCUACUGCCUCCAGCUGUCUGCUUCCCAUUUCUCUUGGUCCCCACGACCUGCCUCAGAAAACGGAUGCUCCACCCUCCUCUGCCGUCCCUGCCGCCCCAGAGGGAGGUCUUUCUGCUUCCAUGGCAUCUGACACCUGUUCUGACUUUUGCGGGCAUCAGAAAUAGAUGGUACAGAGACGUGCAUGCAGGAAAUGCCUGGUCUGGAGCUGCUGUUGUGUCGAUGACCAUAUAUGGUCUCUCACCUGAUUUUAUCGUGAUGUUCGUCUCAUCUCUUUGCAAAGGGGAAGUGUGGACUCACAGUUCUGGUCCCAAGUGCUCAGAAGCUAUGAUUUGAUCUCCUUUAGUGACCAUGAAGUCUCCCGGGGUUCACUUCAAAUACAGAACGCAUGCCAGAGACGUGCCUCAGCCGUGGAGCACGCGCUACUCUUGCAGACGACCUGAAUUUGGAUCCCAUCAUCCACAUCAGUUUGGUCACAUCUCCGGCACAUCUCUUGGAACCUACUGCUUCAGGAUUCUAGCUUCUACAGAAGACCAGCUGAAACACCCAGCCUCGUGGGACUGAGCAACUGCUAGACUCUUGGACUUUCCAUUCACAGCUGACCAUCGUCGGGUCAGUUGGACUGCAGACACUGAGUCAUCACAAUAAAUUCCCUCAAUAUAGAGAAA